rnacentral:pre_miRNA from 1 species
GUAUUUUGGCUCUGAUCCAAAACCCCUUGAGGUCAAUGGGAGUCUUUCCAUUGACUCCCAUGGGGUUUGGAUCAGAUUUUUAGGGC